rnacentral:lncRNA from 1 species
CAAUGAUGCGAUCCAACUGUCUCUUUGCUUCACACUGUGGAAAAUUGCUCAUGUCAUAAUAUUGAGGGGCAAUUUUCACCAGCCAUUCAGGUUUGAUGUCUGUACAUGUCCGGAUGUAGUUCUUCGUUGUAAGGACAAACUCAUUAUAAAGCACCCAUUCCGGUUUGUGAUCAAGAACAGUGGAAGGAUGCAACUGUACCACUUGGUUAUCUUUUACUGUUAAGUAAUGCCCUGUUCGUUCCAAGUGCGCCACCUGCAUGAAAUACCCAGUAACUAAUGCCUUUCUUAUAUUGAUGUAAUAGUCUCG